ACGCUGGCGGCAGGCCUAACACAUGCAAGUCGAGCGGAAACGACACUAACAAUCCUUCGGGUGCGUUAAUGGGCGUCGAGCGGCGGACGGGUGAGUAAUGCCUAGGAAAUUGCCUUGAUGUGGGGGAUAACCAUUGGAAACGAUGGCUAAUACCGCAUAAUGCCUACGGGCCAAAGAGGGGGACCUUCGGGCCUCUCGCGUCAAGAUAUGCCUAGGUGGGAUUAGCUAGUUGGUGAGGUAAUGGCUCACCAAGGCGACGAUCCCUAGCUGGUCUGAGAGGAUGAUCAGCCACACUGGAACUGAGACACGGUCCAGACUCCUACGGGAGGCAGCAGUGGGGAAUAUUGCACAAUGGGCGAAAGCCUGAUGCAGCCAUGCCGCGUGUAUGAAGAAGGCCUUCGGGUUGUAAAGUACUUUCAGUUGUGAGGAAGGGGGUAKRGUUAAUAGCKSYAUCUCUUGACGUUAGCAACAGAAGAAGCACCGGCUAACUCCGUGCCAGCAGCCGCGGUAAUACGGAGGGUGCGAGCGUUAAUCGGAAUUACUGGGCGUAAAGCGCAUGCAGGUGGUUCAUUAAGUCAGAUGUGAAAGCCCGGGGCUCAACCUCGGAACUGCAUUUGAAACUGGUGAACUAGAGUACUGUAGAGGGGGGUAGAAUUUCAGGUGUAGCGGUGAAAUGCGUAGAGAUCUGAAGGAAUACCAGUGGCGAAGGCGGCCCCCUGGACA
rnacentral:rRNA from 1 species